GCCGACAUAGCUCAGUGGUAGAGCAGGGGUUUUGUAAACCUCAGGUCGCCCGUUCAAAUCGGGCUGUCGGCU
rnacentral:tRNA from 1 species